rnacentral:rRNA from 1 species
CCUACGGGUGGCUGCAGUGAGGAAUAUUGGUCAAUGGCCGUAAGGCUGAACCAGCCAAGCCGCGUGAAGGAAGAAGGACCUAUGGUUUGUAAACAUCUUUUACAGGGGAAUAAAGGUAUCCACGUGUGGACAUUUGCAUGUACCUUACCAAUAAGCAUCGGCUAACUCCGUGCCAGCAGCCGCGGUAAUACGGAGGGUGCGAGCGUUAUGCGGAUUUAUUGGGCUUAAAGGGAGCGUAGGUUGUUUUUUAAGUCAGCGGUGAAAGUUUGUGGCUCAACCCUAAAAUUGCCGUUGAAACUGGCAGACUUGAGUGUGUUUGAGGUAGGCGGAAUGCGUGGUGUAGCGGUGAAAUGCGUAGAUAUCACGCAGAACUCCGAUUGCGAAGGCAGCUUACUAGACCAUAACUGACGCUGAGGCACGAAAGCGUGGGGAUCAAACAGGAUUAGAUACCCCUGUAGUC